CGAAGGAUGCAAGCGUUAUCCGGAUUCAUUGGGUUUAAAGGGAGCGUAGGUGGACUGGUAAGCCAGAGGUGAAAUCUCCGAGCUUAACUCGGAAAUUGCCAUUGAUACUGUCGGUCUUGAGUAUAGUUGCCGUUGGCGGAAUAUGACAUGUAGUGGUGAAAUACAUAGAGAUGUCAUAGAACACCGAUUGCGAAGGCAGCUGACGAAACUAUAACUGACACUGAGGCUCGAAAGUGUGGGGAUCAAACAGGAUUAGAUACCCUGGUAGUCCACACUGUAAACGAUGAUUACUCGCUGCUAGAGGGCAACUUUUAGUGGCUUAGCGAAAGCGAUAAGUAAUCCACCUGGGGAGUACGCCGGCAACGGUG
rnacentral:rRNA from 1 species